rnacentral:rRNA from 1 species
UCUGAGACAGGUGCUGCAUGGCUGUCGUCAGCUCGUGUUGUGAAAUGUUGGGUUAAGUCCCGCAACGAGCGCAACCCUUAUCCUUUGUUGCCAGCGGUUAGGCCGGGAACUCAAAGGAGACUGCCAGUGAUAAACUGGAGGAAGGUGGGGAUGACGUCAAGUCAUCAUGGCCCUUACGAGUAGGGCUACACACGUGCUACAAUGGCAUAUACAAAGAGAAGCGACCUCGCGAGAGCAAGCGGACCUCAUAAAGUAUGUCGUAGUCCGGAUUGGAGUCUGCAACUCGACUCCAUGAAGUCGGAAUCGCUAGUAAUCGUGGAUCAGAAUGCCACGGUGAAUACGUUCCCGGGUCU